rnacentral:misc_RNA from 1 species
UCUCCGUUGGUGAACCAGCGGAGGGACCAUUACCGAGUUUACAACUCUCAAACCCAAUGUGAACGUUACCAAACUGUUGCCUCGGCGGGGCAACGCCCCGGGUGCGUCGCAGCCCCGGAACCAGGCGCCCGCCGGAGGAACCAACCAAACUCUUUCUGUAGUCCCCUCGCGGACGUUAUUUCUUACAGCUCUGAGCAAAAAUUCAAAAUGAAUCAAAACUUUCAACAACGGAUCUCUUGGUUCUG